UUUUUAAAUGUGCCAUUUUACAUGCAUUAACUCAUCCAGUCUUCCUGGAAGCCCUGCAGGGUUGGUAAUCCCCAUUUUACAAUAAGGAACCCAAGUCUGAAAAAGGUUCAAGGCCAGUGAGUGGUAGUUUCAGUACUGAACCCCUAUCUCCUAGACCCAAGGACCUGAGCUCUAAAGUCACUGGCCUGGGUGAACUCCCCAACCAUAAAGCUUUUGCCUUUUAAUUUACUUGAGAUUAAAUCAAGAAAAAAUUUAUAUAAGUACUUCUCUUUUAUAAAAUUGAGAUUAUAAACACAUGGCCCAAAUAUUGUAUUCACACUAUUUUAUUUAUCUUUGUUUUAGGACAAGGAAAAACUUGGCAGAAGAAGCAUGUCAAUAAAUUUUCAGAAACUAGAUGGAAGAAAGAUGAUGAAGUUACAAAAACAAGACCUGUCCCUUGGACUUAGAUGACUCACAAUCUAAUGGAAAAACACACAACUGUGAGCAACAUGUGAGAAAACAGCAUGAAAAGUGCCUUAAUAGAAGUAGGGGCACACAGAGCACGGGGCCUCUAGUUCUGAUGGUGGGAGCUGCAAGAGCGAGAGUGUGGCUGACUGCCAGGGUUACUACCUGAGACUGUCACUAUAGCAGUUACUACUGUUACUGCUUGGGACCGUCAUUACAAGACUGAAGGAAGGGACGAACGCAGAAAUGAAAACUUAAUACAAAAGAAACUGUUUUAAAGAAGACAUGAAAACUUAAGACAAAAGUAACUAUUUUAAGGAAAGGCUAGCAUGGGGAAGAAGAGAGAAGGAGAGAAGAAAGACUCCCUGCUUCUAAUGAGCAAAGGCAGCCGCCUAAGCAUCUACAGCCCUUAUUGGGUAACAAGAGCAGGGAGGAGGAGGUAACGAUUGGUCAGCUGCUUAAUUGAUCACAGGUUCAUAUUGUUACUAACAGGCUUCAAUUACGCCUAAUCGUAGGAACCACUUGCGCCUGGGUUGUGACUGACCUCAGCAGUCUUUCUGGGCGGCAGACGCAGUUUGUCAGUUUGCCAACAUUCUGCAUUUAUGAGAACAGUUUGUUGCUUACUCAUGUAGCCUCCAGUGGUAUACUGAGUUGAUCACGACCCUCACUCUUUCCGCCUCCAACACGGGAGUGCCAGCAAAGACCUCACAGGAUGUGCAGGAACAGAACAGGAAAGGAAACAGUUAUGUUACAAAUGGAGGAAAUAGCAUGAACAAAAGCCCAGAACCAUGAGAUAGCUGAGGGGAGAUAGGAGAUAAACGGAGCAUAAGGGACAUGGUGGAUGGGGCGUGAUGAAAGAAGUGAUGUUGGCAGAAGGGGUGCAGAUCACUGAGCUGACAUUCGAGUUUAUGCUGAAGCCAUGUGGACCACUGAAGGUUGUAAGCAGGGAAUUUACUGACAAGUUUUAUGUUUUAGAAAAAUCACUAUGGAAGAUGUAUAGAAAAACCAAAACACUCUGAGAAAUCUGAAGUCUUAAUCCAAAUUUAUUUUAUUUAUUAAUUAUUUGUUUCUAUCCCGAUUUCUCCUAACUACACUGGUAAGGUUUUAUUUUCAAAGUUAUAGUCUUUAUUUCCAAUGGUUCUUAUGCAAUGUUUAUAAGACAAAAGGAUCUUAAAGAAUACAAUUGAACUCAAUUCAAUAGAACUCUAUUUUCUCGCUACAACAUAAUACUUCUUGAAUUUCCUAGUGCAGAAUACAUUCAAGUCUUUUAAAUUAUUCAUUCCCCAUUAUGUAGAGAAAAUUAACCAAACUGACUCUGACUAAAGAAAAGAAAACAAAAUUUAAAGCCAAGAAUAAAUUAUGAUAAAACAUUGGUCUAAACAGCCAUUUAGAAAACUAUCCCAUCGUAAAAGCAGAAGAAAUUUGUGUGCAAAAAAGUUUAAAACUCCAUAUAGUCAGUGGUAUGAUUGUUCAUUUGCUCCUAAACAUUCCCAAAUUGUGCCUAACUCUGAGCUACUUUUGCUUAGAAAUAGAAUUAGAAUGAUUUUUAAAAUGUAUUCUAUUUAUUUUUUUCCUCUUUUUAUAAAUAGAUUAUGUUCUUUCUAACAUCCCAACAUGGUCAAAGGCAUUCUUCUAGCAACUCGCAAAUUUCAGUAAAACUGUCACCUUCAGUAAAAGUUCAAAAUGUCAAAAUAAUUUUAAAUUUAGUAUGAAAUUUCACUUGUUUUGCUAUGUAGUUUGGAAAUAUCAAAUGUUAACCAGAAAAUGUAUGAAACACAAUAAAAAUGAGUAUGU
rnacentral:lncRNA from 1 species